AUUCCAGCUCCAAGAGCGUAUAUUAAAGUUGUUGCAGUUAAAAAGCUCGUAGUUGAAUUUUGGGGUGGCCCCAGGAGGUCCACUUAUUUGUGAGUACUUUUUGGGACUGCCCUUCCAUGGCAACCUCUUCUAGAGGGGGCCAUAAUUACUUUGAGUAAAUGGGAGUGUUCAAAGCAGGCAAGCGCUUGAAUCUUUUAGCAUGGAAUAAUAAAAUAGGACGAUGAUUCUAUUUUGUUGGUUUCUAGGACCAUCGUAAUGAUUAAUAGGGACGGUCGGGGGCAUUAGUAUUCAGUUGUAAGAGGUGAAAUUCUUAGAUUUUCUGAAGACUAACUACUGCGAAAGCAUUUGUCAAGGACGUUUUCAUUG
rnacentral:rRNA from 1 species